GAUGAACGCUGGCGGCGUGCCUAAUACAUGCAAGUCGAGCGAACAGACGAGGAGCUUGCUCCUCUGACGUUAGCGGCGGACGGGUGAGUAACACGUGGAUAACCUACCUAUAAGACUGGGAUAACUUCGGGAAACCGGAGCUAAUACCGGAUAAUAUAUUGAACCGCAUGGUUCAAUAGUGAAAGACGGUUUUGCUGUCACUUAUAGAUGGAUCCGCGCCGCAUUAGCUAGUUGGUAAGGUAACGGCUUACCAAGGCGACGAUGCGUAGCCGACCUGAGAGGGUGAUCGGCCACACUGGAACUGAGACACGGUCCAGAAUCCUACGGGAGGCAGCAGUAGGGAAUCUUCCGCAAUGGGCGAAAGCCUGACGGAGCAACGCCGCGUGAGUGAUGAAGGUCUUCGGAUCGUAAAACUCUGUUAUUAGGGAAGAACAAAUGUGUAAGUAACUAUGCACGUCUUGACGGUACCUAAUCAGAAAGCCACGGCUAACUACGUG
rnacentral:rRNA from 1 species